UCUUACUUGUUUAAUUUCAAACAACACACGUGACACACGUGACUAAACCUGAUUGGUUGUUGUCAUAGUAACACGUCACGGUGCUAUUUGAAACUUGUUCAGUUUAGUUCAGUUGUUCACGGUGCAUGCGGUUGCUUGCAUUAAACGUAUAAACUGUUAAAUUAGAUGGCGACUCUGCAUUAAACGUAUUUUUUUAAUUAAUCGGCGAUCAUAUUUCACCAGAGGACUAAGAUAAAACAACUCGAUUUAAAAUAUGAGCAGUUUUAGUGGAUCUGACGUUGAGGGAAAAAGUAUUUCGCUUUUUGUUUGGAGAUGAACGAGAUAACACGAGGGUAAGUGAUGACAGAUUUUCACAUUUCUUUAUUUAGUUAACUAUUAAAUAAGUAAAACAUUACAUUACAUUUAACCCAGCUUCUUUAUGUAACGUUAUGUCUGUGUUGCGUGUGGUAAUUGGAACAUCUUUAUUUUCUGACUAACGGUAGGCAUUUCUCUUAAGCAUUUCAGAAAUCAUUAAAACCUUUCUUUUUUUUUAGCACAGCGACAUAAAUAUGACCAACCAGAUCCCAAGUAGACAGGAACAAAUGAAGAUAUAGCGCAUAGAAAGACUUAUUCUUGGUGAUCAACUGCUAUUGACAUUUUUGAAUCGGGGCAAAUGUGGAGUGAAGAAAAACGUUUGCAACACAUCCAUUCCAGAGUGCUCUGACAGAUAAAACUGACACGCUUGAUGAGGACACAGUCAAAGCUUUAAAAGCCCGUGUGAUAAAGCAGUCUACAAUUACUACG